rnacentral:rRNA from 1 species
UACGGAGGGUGCAAGCGUUAUCCGGAUUCACUGGGUUUAAAGGGUGCGUAGGCGGGUAAGUAAGUCCGGGGUGAAAUCUCUGAGCUUAACUCAGAAACUGCCGUGGAUACUAUUUGCCUUGAAUAUUGUGAAGGUGAGCGGAAUAUGUCAUGUAGCGGUGAAAUGCUUAGAUAUGACAUAGAACACCAAUUGCGAAGGCAGCUCACUACACAAUCAUUGACGCUGAGGCACGAAAGCGUGGGGAUCAAACAGG